rnacentral:lncRNA from 1 species
GACCGACAAGUCUGGAUCCCCUGGCAGGCCACAGUAACAGACAACACUGCUCCACUCCCUGCGGCAGACCCUACGUAGCUCCAUUACUCCCUGACAGGCCGUACUAACGACCACGAUUCUGCUCCACCCCCUGCAGCAGAUCCUGUGCGAUUCCACCACUCUCUGACGAGUCACGACAACGGAUGUUGCUCCACUCCCCAUA